GACUCGCUAGCUCAAUGGUAGAGCAUCGCACUUUUAAUGCGAGGGUUCAGGGUUCGAGCCCCUGGCGAGUCA
rnacentral:tRNA from 1 species